ACUGCAUCUUCUUAAGUUAAUUUAUUUCCAUUUAAAGGGUAAUUAAUAUGUUUUCGUUGACGUGAGCAUAGAGAGCUCACGGACCAGUGACACUGGCAGAGAAGCUGGCCAGGCAGUCUCGAGGCUGCAGCAGGAGGGCCUGAGCCACGCCUGUGUCACUCACCUGCCUCUCUCGUCCCUCUCCUCUCAGACUCCCUCGGCACCUGUCUGCUCUCCGUUUUUCUCCAUCUCCUUCUCUACCAAGGAAACUGAAUGGUAGUCUGCUCCUGGACUUUGACUUGGAAGUUUGACCAAAGCAGAUGGUCCUGAUAAUGAACUUCUCCAGCUGAAAGACCUGCCUACAGAACAGAAGAGAGCAAGACAUCCCUGGGAAGAGGUAUGUUCAUUGAUUCAUGAACUUCAGGAGUCCAGUUCUAUAGCUGUGGUCAACAGCCUACAUGCUGCGUGUAGCUGUACAAGAAGGAUAUUCCCACAAAGUGAUGGGGGAUGGACAGCAACCCCAGCAACUCCAGUCAAAGAGCAAGGCUCUAGGAUUGAACUGAAUGGAGGAAAUAUGAUAGAAUCUUGUCUGAUGGAAAGGCAGAUGCAGAACAAUGAAAUAAAUACCUACAGAAAAGUAACCUUCAGGCCCAACUGAGUGCGAGUCACGUGCUUGUUCAUCAUCGGCACAGAUAUUAAACGCAUUCUUCUUGAACCUAUUUGCAUGACCUGAAGGGACCAUAAAUCAGCAGGUCUGCAUACUUUUUGAGAAACGAAUGCAUUCCGGCCUAGGAAUGUGGCUUGGACUUUGGCAGCACAAGGAGCUGGGAUGCUUUCACUUGCAAACAAUGGAGGACCCCUGGCUUGAGUUGGCUCAGAAACAAUCCAUAUAUCACCAUCCAUAACCGGAGUUAACAGCAAGGCAAAGCCCAAGAUCAUUCCAGUCCGAGGCUCGAUAAAGUCAUCAGGAAAUCACGGUUUUUCAUUCUUUUCCUUGGCUGUUGCAUUUCUGUUGGGAACCUAAGAGCGCCUGCCAGAUGGCUGCCACAGGCCUGGGCAGGACAUUCAAAAACAACAGUAUCCAGGGCACCAACAGAUGUCUCUUUUCUUAUGCUUGACUCUUUCUUUAGAAGCAAGAAAACUUGGUCCAGACUCCUGGCAAGGGUUGGGGUGUUGCUCAGUGGUUGAGUUUACAUAUGGGGUUUUAGAACCUAAUGCGCGCGCGCACACACACACACACACACACACACACACACACACACACACACACACACACACAAGCAGUCAGUCCUCUGUUUGAAUUUGAGUCAUUCUCUUGUUCCUAAAGCAAUUGGUGAUGAGUCCAAUCCUGCUGCUGGAGAACCAGUGCCCUGACCCCAACAGACAGCCACCAGACUUUUCCCAGUUGUGUUUCUGAGUACGAUUUCUUCAUCCAAACAGCAAACCUUUAAUAUUUGGUGGAAAUGGAGAUCUUUAAAAAGACCCAAACCUGAGAUUUUUGUAAUAAGCUCAUUCCCUGUUUUUCCUGAUAAUAAAUUGUCUCUGUCACCUCAAAGGUCACCUUGC